AAUGUCAUCAUUGUCAAUGUCCAUAAAGUUUUAGGAAGUUGAUCUUAGCAAAUAGAUAAGAUCAUUAAGGGUCUUGUCAUAGUCUGUUUCAUAGGUGUCCCAAAGGAACUCACUAUGUGACUUAGAAAGUGAUUGAACCACCAACUUUCUCAAGACUUUGACACCCAACUCUCCCGGCUUGUCAAUAUGUGACUACAUCUCCAAGAUGUGAUCACACCUAGACCUUGCCUUGCCAAUAGGGCUUGAGUGACCUUAAACUUUUCAAGAACUUGUGGGUUAGGGAGAAUAAUUGGAGGAGGAGAAAGAAGUAUGAUAUCCAUGGGACAUCAUCUUCAUUAGGAAACCUUGUUUCAAGAGAUUUGGGAAGAUCAUAGGUGUCUAAACCAGACAUCUUUUGGGAGAUAUUCAAGAUAGUUGAUUUAAAGUCCUUAAUAUGACACCCAAUAUGAAAUAUUAAGGCUAGGACCCAACAAACUAUUUUAUAACUUAGAAGAGGUAUGCCGUAAUCCAAGCUAUAAAAUAUUUGAAGGUAGGUGAAUGACGAUUCACCAAUUUCCACCAAGAUAAACGAAAUGUAUUAUUAGGUUUUAAUUGGUUUUGAAACUCCUAGAUCUUUGAGAUUCAUUGAACUGUUCAAAGGCAUGUUUCAAUCUCGAGUGUGCCCUUCAGGUUUUGUGACUGGGAUGCCGAGGAUCACAAAACAAGGUGUGAAGUAACCAUGCAAAUCACUUGGUACCCUUAAUAAAUUACCCCUCAAUCGAUGUGCCGGUUAACCACACACGCUCCAUCGAUACUAUGAUAAAUAUUAAGUCACCCUUUACCUACCUUGUUAAGUCCAAGUUAGUGUGCCGGUUAACCACACACGCUCCACUAACGACUUAGACAAAGUGUAAAGUGUAAUUUCAUGGAUUAGCACCUUAUUCACAUUUUUCCUAAGUAACUAAGAUUGGGUAUUAUUAAGAGUUUAGUUACUUAGUAUUAUCAUUAAUACUUUUAAUGAAGGGAGAAUUCUAGUCCUGUCAAACCCGUUCGGCUAACGACCCUCCACCAGUCAAGCAAGCGGUGGGUGAGAGUGGACACCCAUUAAGUUGCCAUUUUAUAGGCAACAACCUUAUACCCACCUUAUAGACCGGCUUCGUGAAUGAGGCGUACUAGCGGUAAGACUGACUUUACUCUUAUACAUAUAUAUAUUAUUAACUUAUAAUAUUAUAAAGUAUAAGGGUUGAAUUUUAACUUUUAAAAUUCUAAGGGCUAACUUGGAAUUAAAGUAUUCAUAAGUGAAAACUUUACAAAUUCCAAAACUUGAGGGCAAGUUUUGAAACUAUUCAAAACUAAUUAAUUCCAUAACUUAUGUGUUUAAAGUAGUUUUAAUCCAAAAACUCUUCAAGUUCCAUAACUUGAGGACAAGUUAUGGAAGACUUUAAACUAAUAAAAGAAUUAACUUUUCUUUAUUUUAUAACUUAUGGAAUUAAUUAAGGUUACACUUUUUUUUUUUUUAUUUUAUUUUAUUAAAUGAAGAGACUCUUGGUCCUCCAUAACUUGAGGACAAGUUAUGGAGUCAUAAAACCAUUUAAUUAGAACUAGACUCUUCAUUUUUGUAACCUUUGCCAAUUUUUAUGAGUUUUAUGAUUCUUAAAUGUGACUUUUCAUAUAACUUGAGGACAAGUUACAAAAACACAUUUUAGAAUCAAUUCUUAGAUUAAUUUGGAUUAAAACCAACUAUCACAUAAUUUUAUUCAUUAAUCUAAAUUCACUCAUAAAACAAGGUAACACAAAAAACUUUUGGUGAUCCAUAACUUAUUCUUAAGUUAUGGAAUCCUUUAAAACAUUAACACCAAAUUUUGUAACUCCAAAAAAACUUUGAAUCAAUUUUUUUUUUAAAACCUUUUCAUAUCCAUAACUUAUGGAGGUUUCAAAAAAUAAAACUCUUUAGAUCAAACUUUUAAAACUAAUAAAAUAAUCAUAUUAUUUUAUCUUUUAUUAAAUUUGACCUAAUUCAACUCAUAAAGCAAAUUAUUCAAAUUUUACAAAUAAUUAGUUUUUCACAAGAACAAGUAAUUAUCUUAAAAUUUGACAAACUUCAUGUUUUUUUUUUUUUUUUUUUUCAACUUUGAAAAUAAAAUAUUUGCAUCAAUAUAACAGAAAACAACCCGUGGCUCUGAUACCACUGUUGGGUUUUGAGCAUUCUAACACUUCCUAAGUGUACAUGCAACCCUAAAUACCUUGGAUCUAUGUUUUCUCUAUUAUACAUGCAAAUAAGAACUUCCAAGGUAUUAUCCUAAUCUAGCAUACAAAACAAUAACUAUAGCAAGAUAGAAUACAUACCUCUUUGGUGUAGAAAGUCUUCAUGAAGCUUGAGUGCCUAGUGCCCCAAGUGUGACACCUCAAAUGGAAUCACAAUCAUCAAAACACUUAGAAUGACUUGAGAGAAUUCUACACUCAUCAAAAUCGGCUAGCCCUUUCUUCACUAUCUCUAGUGGCCGAUUUUUCCUCAAUAAUAAGAUGCUUAUAUAGUUACACAAUUAGGGUAAACUCUUAAUUGUCAUGGCUUUCCAUUUCCUUGGAUCCAUGGGUACAAAUACACCAUGGAGCAUCCAUGGACCAUCCUAUGGGUUUUAGCCCAACUUGAUUAUCCAUGGAGCAUUAGCCCACUAUACAAGUAUGGAUGAUUUACACAAUCAACCCAUAUAUUUAAUUAGUCUUCUUUUGAUCACUUAAUUAAUCCUAGAUUAAUUCUUGAUCAAUACUAAUUAAAUAAUCUUAUUAUUCUUAUUAUUAAUAUACUAGAACUUAUAAUAUAUUAAUAACCAUAAGUGUCUUAUUUCUCUCAUUAUAGUCUAUCCAAGUGCAUGAUGGUAUGCAACCCAAAUGGACCAUGCCGGGUCGGGUCAAGUCUUACCAAUUAUAGUUAUGGACUUAGACAUUAAUCCAACAGUCUCCCACUUGGAUAAGUCUAAAACUAUUAUUGCGUAUGACUUCAGGAACCAACUGGCAAUCGUAGCUCUCAAAAGCUUCUGUCGAACUCUGACCUUGUAGAUGAACUCUGACCUUUGUCAAUGACUUGUCCAUUAGAUAAGGGAUCAUAUAUUCCUCCAUUCUAGAUAUCAUAUGGACUGAGACAUGGAUUAUAAUCAUUCUCUCUGUCCAUUUGUUGUUUCCCGAUUUCCGAUUUAUGACGACUGACUAAUUGAACAAAUCAAAUCAGUCCUGGCCCGGCCGAGCACUUCCAUUUGUCAUCAUCAAAUCAUCGAGGGGCCCACAGAUAUCGCUUUUAUCCCGAAGGUAAAAGGAACGGAUAAACUUCGACUCAUAUGGCUUGUUCUACUACUUGUUGAAUCAUACACAAAGGCACGUUUUAUAGCACCGAGUUACCAAAUGCGUUUUCGUGCAAUCAAUGUACUAUCAACUCAUAGUAACAACUCAUAUCUCUAGGUUUGAAGAAUAUAAGAUAUUAUCGUCUCAUGAUCACUCGUGAUAAAAUCCAUGAAGUGAUUCCAAUGAGCGCGGGUUGAAUCCAAUACUCAGAACUUAUGAGCACUCAUGAGUGUUGUAGCCCUUUGUCCAACACCUUAGACCUCUACAAGCCAACCCAUGACAGUCUUAAUUCAUAUCUACUUCCAACAUAUGACCGACUGUGGAUGGUUUGAAUAACUUAGUCAUUCCGGAAGAAUAACCUAGUUUAUUCGGGAAGUCAAAACAUGCAAAGUGAAACACAAUAAUAAUUGAAUCCAAUAUGGUAUCAACCCUUUGAACAUAAAUAAAACACCUUUUAUUUAUCACCAUAUGAUUACACAUUAUUCAUUGUAUACUGUUUCAGCUAUCAACUUUAUUCUUGAAUUUAAAACAAUAGUUGUCCCAUGCUCCAAGCAUGUACACUAUGUUUUCUUAAACACUAGUCAUGCCACACACCAAGUAUGCAUACUAUGUUUGUCUAUGAUCUUUACUUUGUGAACUAGAUCAAUUGAACAUAACUUCAAUGAUUCUCUUUUCACACUCCCAAAUCCUUACUGCAAAUGCAAGAAUUCCAAAUUCAUGCCAUUUACUGAAAUCUGUUAGAUUCUAAACUUAUAUGCAUUGAUCCUCUUGUAAUGAUUAUGCACAAAGUCAGAAAGACUUGACAACAAUCAUUACAGAGUAUUCCAAAGGAGAUCAGCUCCUUGGAAACAUCCUUCUUGCAUUAAGUUUCCUAAUCUUAAACAGAUUGAAAAUUCUAACUUUGAAACAUUUCCAGAUUCCAUUUUGACUAUCACUUCUGAACAAGAGUUGCCUCCUUACAGAUUAUGUCAAUAUGGUCCUUCCAGAAUUAUCACUAUACUUCCAACUGUCCUUGAGCAACCAAUCUUUGGUAAACCUUAGAUUGUCCUCGACAAUUGUUUAAUCCUUUUAGUCAUAUCCAGUUCUAAACCUUUUCCCUUCUUAAUGCCCCAGGCAUUUGGAAAAUUUUAGAACGGAUGAAUAUAGCACAUGUAAUCGAUCCUAUAUCCGAAGCAUAUGGGACACGAUUCAUGAUGUCUUACAUAAAGACUAAACCAGUCUUUUGCUAUAAUAUUUCCAUUUCAAUUUGCCAAGUUCUCAUAAUUCAGAUUAUGAAAAGGGAUGCCGUAAUCAUAAUCGAAUUUUAGAACGCAAAUAAUGGACCCAUAUACAGAAUUUCCUUAUGUUGAGCCAUUCCAACAUGAAAUUCAUAUAUAUCCUUGACUAAAUGAUUAAAACCUCACGAUCUAAGCUUAUAGAUUUGAGAUGAAGUAUAAUUUCCUCUCCCUUAAUUAUAGCAAAACAACUUUUUCCCAAUUGAAACUUUUGUUUUCUAUAAUUAACAUUGCUAACUUGCAAUACUUAUCAUAAUUAUCAUGCUCCCACUAACAUGAUGAUUAUUAGCAUAACACUUAUGCUCCCACUAGCUUUGACAUGUACUCAGAAAUCAGCUGGACUUCUAGAAAUCAAUACUUCAUUGACUUUCUUACCAAAGUUCAGAUUUCUGAUGCUAGAUUGUUUUGAUAAAACUUUAUCAAAAUCAUACACCUUCCCUUAGAUAGCACACUUGUGUAUCUAAACAAUUAUGAAGAGGGAUGCCGUAAUCAUAAUGUUUAGACCUUUUUGCCACUUCUCACAAGUCCAAGUUAGUGUGCCGGUUAACCACACGCGCUCCACUAACGACUUUGAGAAUGCAAAUAUCACAAUUGCUAUCUAGCUAAAAUCUACUUAGUGAAAGUGUUUCCUCACCAUCAUUUUCAUGAAUCGGAGAGAAACCUUAUGACACUUAGAUUUAAUGGUGUAUGUGUUCUUAUCCAUGUGAAUUGUCAAAACCAUAGUCACAAGACAAGGAUAAUGACAAAUCCAAACUCAUAUGGACUGAACUCAAUCUUAAUUUCUUGCCACCUGGCAGCUCAAGGGCCUACCAUUGCUUCCAAGUUGUUGUGCAACAAAUUGAGAACUCUAAGAACUCAUAUGCAAAGCCAACUUUAACUGGAAUGGGCACAGAAUAUGUCAACACGAUAGGUUAUGAACCUCAAGUCGUGUGCUAGUGAAGAACUUCAGGUUUUAUUCUUGAUUAGUUCUUGAGACUUUCAAGACCUUUAAGACUCCCACUGUCCUCUUGACAUAUAAGACUCCCUUGUCAAACAUCCAAGAGAUAGUGCGGAUUCUAAUCAAGAAAAACACUUUACCCAAUUGGCCUAAGUUGGUCUUUGUUUUAUCCAAAACAUCACAACUUACCAAUUUCAAAUGUACAAGAGUAGAAAACUUUUACUCUUACAUUUGACAAGUGUUUUAAACCUUCUUUAAGACAUGUCACUCAAAUGACAAUCUUGGAGUAUGACUCUAAGACUUGUAUUGGAACGAAGUAUGACUCAUCUUCUUGAUUUAACCAUUUCAACAAUUCAAGUUCCUCUUCUUAGUCAUAAGAAUGCACUAAGAUUUCCUUAGAGAACUAAUUUUGAUAUGGUUUCUUAAUCAUUAAGAUGAUCACAAAACUGAUACUAAAGUACUCUCCCAUCUUUUCAGAUUUGAGAAACUUUUAUCCUUCUGCCUUAUUUGAUUCUUCUUAUCGAUCUUUAGUGGUGGACUUAAUCAGUGCACAAGAAUGUGUACUCGAUCCCUAAGUCCUUUACUUGACUCACACAUCCAUGUGAACAAGUAAUUAGUCUUAAUUUUCCAAAACUUGAAAGUUCUCAUUCAUCAUGCUAUACAACUUGCAUGAUUCCAAGUUCCGGUCCAAUUGAAACUUGGGUGAUGAGAAUCUUUCCUUAUUUGGUAAAUUUAGACAUUACCACAAAUGAAAGAAUCAAUUUCAUACUUCCACUCUUGCUACUAAUGGAAUCUUAUAAGCAACAAAAAUUUCCACAGAUGCCAUUGUAAGGAUAUUUUAAAAUAAAUAAAAUCAAAAAUUUCCUUUUAUUUUAAAACUUUGCGGAAAAACUAUCCUUACAAUCCAUAUGAAAACUUGUUGUUGUCUAUUCCUAAACAAAAAUAUCAUGACUCCUAAGAAGUAGCUCAAGAAUCUAAUCUUCAAACUAUGCGAUAGAAAUCCAUCUACGCGAUCAAAUUCAGCAUAUUCUUUCUUUAAGUUUCUUUACUUUUCUUUGAUUCUUAAAACAUCAACAUGUGACCCAGUCACAUCAUGUAUCAAGAAUCUCAGAAUAGAAACUUAGCAGAGUUAGAUAGUGGAUUUUACCUAAAAUAAAGUCAAACUUAUUGACUUUACCAUCCUUAGGUAAAAUUGGCAGCUUCGCAACUAAUGCCCAUUCCUAUGGCAACUUAGCAUAUGGACCCUUUGGUAAUGGUACAUAGGACUAUCACAGACUUAGCCUUUCUCUUUACCAUUUGGUCAACUUAGUUGACAAUGGAUGAUCCCUUUCCACUGGGAAGAGAGAGCUUUACUAGAUACCCAAUAUCAUCAUUGUCAAUGUCCAUAAAGUUCUAGGAAGUUGAUCUUAGCAAAUAUAUAAGAUGAUUAAGGGUCUUGUCAUAGUCUAUUUCAUAGGUGUCCCAAAGGAACUCACUAUGUGACUUAGAAAGUGAUUGAGCCACCAACUUUCUCAAGACUUUGACACCCAACUCUCCCGGCUUGUCAAUAUGUGACUACAUCUCCAAGAUCUGAUCACACAUAAACCUUUCCUUGCCAAUAGGGCUUGAGUGACCUUAAACUUUUUAGAACUUGUGGGUUAGGGAGAAUAAUUAGAGGAGGUGAAAGAAGUAUGUUUUCCAUGGGACAUCAUCUUCAUUGAAAGCUUGGUUCAAGAGAUUUGGGAAGAUCAUAAAUGUCUAAACUAGACAUCUUUUGGGAGAUAUUCAAGAUAGUUGAUUUAAAGUCCUUAAUAUGACACCCAAUAUGAAAUAUUAAGGCUAGGACCCAACAAACUAUUUUAUAACUUAGAAGAGGUAUGCCGUAAUCCAAGCUAUAAAAUAUUUGAAGGUAGGUGAAUGACGAUUCACCAAUUUCCACCAAGAUAAACGAAAUGUAUUAUUAGGUUUUAAUUGCAUUUGAAACUCCUAGAUCUUUGAUAUUCAUUGAACUGUUCAAUGGCAUGUUUCAAUCUCGAGUGUGCCCUUCAGGUUUUGUG
rnacentral:lncRNA from 1 species